rnacentral:rRNA from 1 species
UACGUAGGGUCCGAGCGUUGUCCGGAAUUAUUGGGCGUAAAGAGCUCGUAGGCGGUUUGUCGCGUCUGCUGUGAAAUCCCGAGGCUCAACCUCGGGCCUGCAGUGGGUACGGGCAGACUGGAGUGCGGUAGGGGAGAAUGGAAUUCCUGGUGUAGCGGUGGAAUGCGCAGAGUAUCAGGAGGAACACCGAUGGCGAAGGCAGUCUCUGGGCCGUAACUGACGCUGAGGAGCGAAAGCGUGGGGAGCGAACAGGAUAGAAAC